CGAUUAUGAUUAAAGAUGGCCUCUAGCUUGCUAUGCUAUCGCCUUGAGAGGGGCCAGCGUCCUAUCAGGUUGUUGGUAGGGUAAAAGCCUACCAAGCCUACGACGGGUAGCUGGCAUUAGUGUGUGGUCAGCCACACCGGGACUGAGACACUGCCCGGACUCCUACGGGAGGCUGCAGUCGAGAAUCUUUUCCAAUGGACGAAAGUCUGAGAAUGCGACGUCGCGUGAGGGAUGAAGCGUUUCGGCGUGUAAACCUCUUUUAUCAGAGAAGAACGCUUUUGCGGUAAAUAAUCGCUAAAGUUUGACUGUAUCUGAUGAAUAAGCCACGGCUAACUCCGUGCCAGCAGCCGCGGUAAUACGGGGGUGGCAAGCGUUACUCGGUUUAACUGGGUGUAAAGGGUCUGUAGGCGGCGAGAGAAGUAGAAGGUGAAAUCCUUCGGCUUAACCGAAGAACUGCUUUCUAAACUCUCUCACUCGAGGAUGGAAGAGGAGAGUGGAACUGCCAGUGUAAGGGUGAAAUCUGUGAUAUUGGCAGGAACGCCCAUGACGAAGGUAACUCUCUGGUCCAAUCCUGACGCUGAGGGACGAAAGCUAGGGGAGCAAACAGGAUUAGAUACCCUGGUAGUCCUAGCUGUAAACGAUGGGCACUAGGUGUUUCUGCCUUUGGCAGGGGUGCCGAAGCUAACGCGUUAAGUGCCCCACCUGGGGACUACGGCCGCAAGGCUAAAACUCAAAGGAAUUGACGGGGGCCCGCACAAGCGGUGGAACACGUGGUUUAAUUCGAUGCUACGCGAGGGACCUUACCAGGGCUUGACAUGCUGGAAGUAGUUCUGGUGAAAGUCGGAACGACCUGUAUCCAAUCAGGUACCAGCACAGGUGCUGCAUGGCUGUCGUCAGCUCGUGCCGUGAGGUGUUACCUUAAGUGGUAAAACGAGCGCAACCCUCGCACUUAGUUGCCAUCGCUCUGGCGUUAUGUCAGAGGCUGGGCACUCUAAGUGGACUGCCCACGUUAAGUGGGAGGAAGGUGAGGACGACGUCAAGUCCGCAUGGCCCUUAUGUCCUGGGCUACACACGUGUUACAAUGGCGCGUACAACGGGAGGCAAUACCGUAAGGUGGAGCAAAUCCUUUAAAGCGCGCCUCAGUUCGGAUCGAGGUUUGCAACUCAGCCUCGUGAAGCCGGAAUCGCUAGUAAUGGCGCAUCAGCUACGGCGCCGUGAAUACGUUCCCGGGCCUUGUACACACCGCCCGUCAAGCGCUGAAAGUGAGGAGCGCCCGAAUCCCGAUGUAGGUCGGUACACGGUGAAUUUCAUGAUUGGCGCUAAGUCGAAACAAGGUA
rnacentral:rRNA from 1 species